AAUGAAAUAGUAUAUUUUUAGUAUUUAAAUUUGUCAUUUUUAAGGUUUUUUUGUUUUUUUA
rnacentral:tRNA from 1 species